AGUGAACGCUGGCGGUAGGCCUAACACAUGCAAGUCGAACGGCAGCACAGUAAGAGCUUGCUCUUACGGGUGGCGAGUGGCGGACGGGUGAGGAAUACAUCGGAACCUACUUUUUCGUGGGGGAUAACGUAGGGAAACUUACGCUAAUACCGCAUACGACCUACGGGUGAAAGCAGGGGAUCUUCGGACCUUGCGCGAUUGAAUGCGCCGAUGUCGGAUUAGCUAGUUGGCGGGGUAAAGGCCCACCAAGGCGACGAUCCGUAGCUGGUCUGAGAGGAUGAUCGGCCACACUGGAACUGGGACACGGUCCAGACUCCUACGGGAGGCAGCAGUGGGGAAUAUUGGACAAUGGGCGCAAGCCUGAUCCAGCCAUACCGCGUGGGUGAAGAAGGCCUUCGGGUUGUAAAGCCCUUUUGUUGGGAAAGAAAAGCAGCAGGUUAAUACCCCGCUGUUCUGACGGUACCCAAAGAAUAAGCACCGGCUAACUUCGUG
rnacentral:rRNA from 1 species